AUGCAGUCGAACGAUGAAGCCCAGCUUGCUGGGUGGAUUAGUGGCGAACGGGUGAGUAACACGUGAGUAACCUGCCCUUGACUCUGGGAUAAGCGCUGGAAACGGCGUCUAAUACCGGAUACGACCUGCCCCGGCAUCGGGUGCGGGUGGAAAGUUUUUCGGUCAAGGAUGGACUCGCGGCCUAUCAGGUAGUUGGUGAGGUAAUGGCUCACCAAGCCGACGACGGGUAGCCGGCCUGAGAGGGUGACCGGCCACACUGGGACUGAGACACGGCCCAGACUCCUACGGGAGGCAGCAGUGGGGAAUAUUGCACAAUGGGCGAAAGCCUGAUGCAGCAACGCCGCGUGGGGGAUGACGGCCUUCGGGUUGUAAACCUCUUUUAGUAGGGAAGAAGGGCUUCGGCUUGACGGUACCUGCAGAAAAAGCACCGGCUAACUACGUGCCAGCAGCCGCGGUAAUACGUAGGGUGCAAGCGUUGUCCGGAAUUAUUGGGCGUAAAGAGCUCGUAGGCGGUUUGUCGCGUCUGCUGUGAAAACCCGAGGCUCAACCUCGGGCCUGCAGUGGGUACGGGCAGACUAGAGUGCGGUAGGGGAGAAUGGAAUUCCUGGUGUAGCGGUGGAAUGCGCAGAUAUCAGGAGGAACACCGAUGGCGAAGGCAGUUCUCUGGGCCGUUACUGACGCUGAGGAGCGAAAGCGUGGGGAGCGAACAGGAUUAGAUACCCUGGUAGUCCACGCCGUAAACGUUGGGAACUAGAUGUGGGGACCUUUCCACGGUCUCCGUGUCGCAGCUAACGCAUUAAGUUCCCCGCCUGGGGAGUACGGCCGCAAGGCUAAAACUCAAAGGAAUUGACGGGGGCCCGCACAAGCGGCGGAGCAUGCGGAUUAAUUCGAUGCAACGCGAAGAACCUUACCAAGGCUUGACAUAUACCGGAAACUUCCAGAAAUGGUUGCCCCGCAAGGUCGGUAUACAGGUGGUGCAUGGUUGUCGUCAGCUCGUGUCGUGAGAUGUUGGGUUAAGUCCCGCAACGAGCGCAACCCUCGUUCUAUGUUGCCAGCACGUCAUGGUGGGAACUCAUAGGAGACUGCCGGGGUCACUCGGAGGAAGGUGGGGAUGACGUCAAAUCAUCAUGCCCCUUAUGUCUUGGGCUU
rnacentral:rRNA from 1 species